GACGAAUGCUGGCGGCGCGCCUAACACAUGCAAGUCGAACGAGCGAGAGAGAGCUUGCUUUCUCAAGCGAGUGGCGAACGGGUGAGUAACGCGUGAGGAACCUGCCUCAAAGAGGGGGACAACAGUUGGAAACGACUGCUAAUACCGCAUAAGCCCACGACCCGGCAUCGGGUAGAGGGAAAAGGAGCAAUCCGCUUUGAGAUGGCCUCGCGUCCGAUUAGCUAGUUGGUGAGGUAACGGCCCACCAAGGCGACGAUCGGUAGCCGGACUGAGAGGUUGAACGGCCACAUUGGGACUGAGACACGGCCCAGACUCCUACGGGAGGCAGCAGUGGGGAAUAUUGCACAAUGGGGGAAACCCUGAUGCAGCGACGCCGCGUGGAGGAAGAAGGUCUUCGGAUUGUAAACUCCUGUUGUUGAGGAAGAUAAUGACGGUACUCAACAAGGAAGUGACGGCUAACUACGUG
rnacentral:rRNA from 1 species